CUGGCAUUCUCUUUUCCUCCUUUCUAGUCUCCUUGCCUUUCCUUUUUCUCUUCCUAAGCUUUUGUCCUAAAGCAGACCCUUUGUCUUAAUCUAGACUUGGUCUUAACAAGGAAAGAAAGAGAAAAAUUCAGACACCUAGGAGAUUAUGUAAGAAAGGAAGGAUAAGAGCUUUCGGAUGAAUGGAAUACUCCGAUGCGCAUCCC
rnacentral:lncRNA from 1 species